UUUUUAGAAAGUCUCUCCAUGGCCUCAAAUUCAUUAAAACAGCUUUGGAUCCCCAGUGUGUUCCCGUACACACUGAGUUACAGGACUCCUGAGAGCAUUUGGGGACCUGGCUCAGGUCAAUUCUACCAAUGCACCUUCGCAUUAACAUGGUCAUGCCCUUAGCUCUCACACUCAGGGAGGGAGGGAUUCACUGCAAAGUUGGGAUCACUAGAAAGAAGCACGUCCUAUUACUGACUGCUGCCUUUAGGACCUACAAUAUUAAGGCCUACCAAAAGACCUACAUCAAAACAGAAGAGAUACUGCAUGUAUGUUUGCCUGUGGAUCAUGUGUCCUUGCCUGAGGAAGCCGGAAGAGGUCAUUAAGUCCCCUGUAACUGGAGCUACAGAGUUCUGAGCGGCCUGUGUGUGCAGGGAACUGAAUCUAGGUCCUCUGCAAGCACAGCAAGUGAGGUGAAACAACUGUAAAAAAGAUCUAACUACAUCUUGAAGGAGAUGCUCAUAGAACAGGAGGGGGAUACAAGAUCUCCCAGAGAUAGAUUAAAUAAUCCUUUAUUGACUUCAAAAAUUUUAAAUGUCAAUGAGACAGCAUAGCUGUUGAAAAAACAGUGGAUUUUAGAAAGGACUGCUGAGUUAAAUCAGCCUAUGUAUGUGGCCACCCAGACUGGAAGUCCGGAAAUGUGAUGCAUUAAGGACGAGCUCAUGCCUUUGUUUCAACAGAGAAUGAGAAGCUGUGGAUCCCCUCAAAAUGACUAAAGGUCAGAUUAGACUGGAGAGACCUCCAGAAACUCUUGACUGAAAACAGGAAGAAACUCCAAAGAACAAUGAAACAGAAGACAUGGAUGCUGCUCCCUUGGCAUGGGGACAGCGCUGAGAAUGGCUCAGACAUGAAGGUCUAUACAUAGCCAAUACAUCUUCUCGGACUUAUUAUUAUAUGCCAUCCUUCCAUAUGGCAUGGAUGGAGAUUUAUAUUAAAGUGUGACUAUGCAGUACAAACACAAAAAUGUUUGAUGUCUUUCACUCACUCGAAGAGCAGAGAACCAUCUUUAGCUGAUUUGUGCACACAGAACAUUCCAUAUAUGUGUUAGUGCAGAAAUGUAUCUUAUCUGUAAGUCUGUGCUUUCAGAGCAAAAGCACCAGACACCAGUGAAGUCAUCAAGUAGCCCAGGUGAUCCGCCUCACAUAAUGCCUCAAUAGCUGUUUCCUCAAAACUCUACAUCCAAGAUAACUUCAGAAUGGCUAGCUAAGAUGGUCCAGCCUCACACUGUCCCAGCCAGUGUGAGCCCUGCAUGCCUCCAUCACACAGAGACUGGACAGCAUGUGACACAGCUCCCCCAGGACUUGAGCGUGAUCCCAAUUUUCAUAGGGUCCCCAAAAGAUGCCACUGCCCCCAGACAGCAGUAAGAUGUCCCCAUUCCCAAAAAGUGGGGUGGUGGCUUUGUUGUUGGUUGGGUGGGGGAUGUCAUUUAGGGAGGUUGGUCAUAAGUUGUUAAUGGUCUUGGCUAGGGAGGAAACCAAGGAGAUUUCUUUCAGGGAUCUCUUUCUCUUUUUCUUUCCUCUAUCUGUCUUUCUCUCCUAUCCAGUGUGGGGGAGAUGAAAAGAAAUAUGAGAGAAGGUAUAGGAAUUAUGUGAUGAAAGGGUACAUUACUGAAUCUACUUUUAGGCUAAAAAGCAACUACUAGUCUCAA
ensembl:lncRNA